rnacentral:rRNA from 1 species
CAGCCGCCGCGGUAAUACCAGCACCUCAAGUGGUCAGGAUGAUUAUUGGGCCUAAAGCAUCCGUAGCCGGCUCUGUAAGUUUUCGGUUAAAUCUGUACGCUCAACGUACAGGCUGCCGGGAAUACUGCAGAGCUAGGGAGUGGGAGAGGUAGACGGUACUCGGAAGGAAGGGGUAAAAUCCUUUGAUCUUUUGAUGACCACCUGUGGCGAAGGCGGUCUACCAGAACACGUCCGACGGUGAGGGAUGAAAGCUGGGGGAGCAAACCGGAUUAGAUACCCGGGUAGUCCCAGCUGUAAACUAUGCAAACUCAGUGAUGCAUUGACUUGUGGUCAAUGCAGUGCUGCAGGGAAGCCGUUAAGUUUGCCGCCUGGGAAGUACGUACGCAAGUAUGAAACUUAAAGGAAUUGGCGGGGGAGCACCACAAGGGGUGAAGCCUGCGGUUCAAUUGGAGUCAACGCCAGAAAUCUUACCCGGAGAGACAGCAGAAUGAAGGUCAGGCUGAAGACUUUACCAGACAAGCUGAGAGGUGGUGCAUGGCCGUCGCCAGCUCGUGCCGUGAGAUGUCCUGUUAAGUCAGGUAACGAGCGAGAUCCCUGCCUCUAGUUGCCACCAUUACUCUCAGGAGUAGUGGGGCGAAUUAGCGGGACCGCCGCAGUUAAUGCGGAGGAAGGAAGGGGCCACGGCAGGUCAGUAUGCCCCGAAACUCUGGGGCCACACGCGGGCUGCAAUGGUAACGACAAUGGGUUUCAAAUCCGAAAGGAUGAGGUAAUCCUCAAACGUUACCACAGUUAUGACUGAGGGCUGCAACUCGCCCUCACGAAUAUGGAAUCCCUAGUAACUGCGUGUCAUUAUCGCGCGGUGAAUACGUCCCUGCUCCUUGCACACACCGCCCGUCGUUUCAUUGAAGUGAGCUCUUAGCGAGGUGACGUCUGAUUGGCGUUAUCGAACUUGGGGUUCGUGACAAGGGAAAAGUCGUAACAAGGUAACCGUA